rnacentral:rRNA from 1 species
AUUGAACGCUGGCGGCAGGCCUAACACAUGCAAGUCGAACGAGUGGCGGACGGGUGAGUAAUGUCUGGGAAACUGCCUGAUGGAGGGGGAUAACUACUGGAAACGGUAGCUAAUACCGCAUACCAUCGGAUGUGCCCAGAUGGGAAUAGGUAGUAGGUGGGGUAAAGGCUGACCUAGGAGACGAUCCCUAGCUGGGCUGAGAGGAUGAACAGCAACCCUGUAACUGAGGCACGGUCCAGACUCAUACGGGAGGGAGCAGUGGGGAAGAUUGCACAAUUGGCGCAAGCCUGAUGCAGCCAUGCCGCGUGUAUGAAGAAGGCCUUCGGGUUGUAAAGUACUUUCAGCGGGGAGGCGUUACCCGCAGAAGAAGCACCGGCUAACUCCGUGCCAGCAGCCGCGGUAAUUG